UGGGACCUGCACUCGUGUGCAAACUGUACACACAUACACAGUUAAAAAUGACUUUAAAAAAAUUGAAAUUGAGGCAAAAUAAGCAGAACUUAAACCCAGCCUGUCUAAAUGCAGCUGGAUGGCGUUUGGUAUGCUUGUGACGCACAGCCACUGCCUCUCCUAGUGCCACUGUUACCACUCUAAGGAAGUGCCUAACGUCCUACUGUUGGGAGGAUAUCUAGUUCAAAGCCAGUCUGAUCUAGUAUUUUCUGUAUGUGACAUCUUUGACAUGCUGUUGUCAGAGCCCAUCUGCAUGGCAGCAGUUAUCCGUCCCUGUGUGCUGUUGUGUGGGCUGUUCUGAGAUUUGCUUCUGCACUCAUCCACUGUCGAGCGAUUCCACCUCUGGGCUGCUCUGAGUGGUGCUGCUGUGAACUCAUGUUGGGAGUUUAUCAAGGAUAGGAGCUGACGUCUGACUCCAGGAUGCUUAUGGUUUUGGCUGUGAGUCCUCAGGUGUGUGGGGCCUGAGGUUGGUGUCACGCGUCUUCCUCAGGUGUGUGUGUGUGGCCUGAGGUUGGUGUCACGCGUCUUCCUCAGGUGUGUGUGGCCUGAGGUUGGUGUCACGCGUCUUCCUCAGGUGUGUGUGGCCUGAGGUUGGUGUCACGCGUCUUCCUCAGGUGUGUGUGGCCUGAGGUUGGUGUCACGCGUCUUCCUCAGGUGUGUGGGGCCUGAGGUUGGUGUCACGCGUCUUCCUCAGGUGUGUGUGUGUGGCCUGAGGUUGGUGUCACGCGUCUUCCUCAGGUGUGUGUGGCCUGAGGUUGGUGUCACGCGUCUUCCUCAGGUGUGUGGGGCCUGAGGUUGGUGUCACGCGUCUUCCUCAGGUGUGUGUGUGUGGCCUGAGGUUGGUGUCACGCGUCUUCCUCAGGUGUGUGUGGCCUGAGGUUGGUGUCACGCGUCUUCCUCAGGUGUGUGUGGCCUGAGGUUGGUGUCACGCGUCUUCCUCAGGUGUGUGUGGCCUGAGGUUGGUGUCACGCGUCUUCCUCAGGUGUGUGGGGCCUGAGGUUGGUGUCACGCGUCUUCCUCCUUAUUCCACCUUAUUUAUUGAGGCAGAGGCGCUCGGUUAAAUCCAGAGCUUGAUAGUCAUCUAAUGUAGUCUUUUUCCAGCCAGUAUGUUGUGGAGAUCUGUCUCUGACAUCUGAGGCUGAAGUCACAGAUGGGCCACCGUGUCCACCUGGCAUCCCUGUGGGUUCUGGGGAUCCGAAUUCUGAUCCUAGUGCAUGCAUGUCAGGUACUUUAAGCACUGGGUCAUCUCUCCUGUCCCUCGAAAUUGCCAUUUUAUAAACAGAAGUCAGAAUUUCAGAUCUAGGGCUCUUUUUAAGUGCGUAAUUCAUCUUGGAUAACAUUAGGUGAGGCAAAAAGCCUAGAAGACUUGUGUGUCCUUUCCUGGGUAUGGACGGCCAGCAGAUGGCUCAGUGGGUAAAGGCUCUUGCUGAUGAGUUCUCUUCCCUCAGCCAUUGGUGAAUGAGGAGAGAAUGCCUCCCUGAAAGUCGUCGUCCUCUGACCUCUACUCGUGUACUGUGACUUAUAUAUAGGUACUGUGUUAAACAGAGGAACAGAGGUGACUGAAUACAUACAUACAUAAAUACAUACAUGCAUACAUACAUGCAUACAUACAUACAUACGGAAGAGAGAGGGAGGGAGGGAGGAUUAAACUGGGUUACCAGGCUGUGGCUCAGUGGCUUAGUUAGGGUUGCCAUUGCUGUGACAAACAUCAUGACUAAAACAAUGUGGGGAAGAUAGAGUUAUUGCACUGACAGUUACAUAUAACAAACGAUCGGUCAUCAGAAGCAGUACGGGCAGGCAGAUAUGCAGACCAUGGAGGAGUGCUGCUUAUGCCCCCUGUCUUGCUCAGGCCAUUUCUUAUAAAAGCCUGGGCUGCUAUCCUAGGGGUGACCCCCCCCCC
rnacentral:sRNA from 1 species